rnacentral:sRNA from 1 species
GCUGAAGACGCGAAGCUGGGUAUUACCACUGCUCGGGAUCACUGGAUUAACUAGUUGGAUGUCUUUUCAUAUGCAACAAUGCCCGGUCGCAGCUUCACUUACACAUAGCUUGGAAAGGACAGAGGCCACUAAGGAUUCACAUAUACACAUCUACAAGUACAAAUAUAUAUAAUACACAACGCGGGA